AAGCCUGGUCCAUUUCCUCCUUCUUUCCUUCUUCCUUCCAUCAGGACUGUAUGCAUAGUAGAUGGUGUCACCUACAAUCAAGGCAGAUUUCCCCUCUCAAUUUGCUGGCCCGCAUGCUAGUCAUCUCCAGAAAUAUCACCACAGGGCCAUCCAGAGUGUGCUUUACUAUUCUCCUGCAUGUCUCUCAAUCCAGUUGAGUCAUCAUACCAGACAUCUUCAGGAGCUGUCUGAGGCCCAGGAAGAAAUGGACUUCAGAUCAACUCACCCAACACUGAAAGUGAAGAGCCACGAAGUAUGAGAAAGACCUACCUCAGGAACCUUGCUUGAGUCCCAGGUCAUCCCUAACCCAAGACGAGGAACCAGCAGAUUCAAUUUUUGCUUAGGCAAGUUUGGGUUCAUUUUUCUGUUCCUUGCAACAUGAGCAACAUGAGUGCUAUCUGAUUCUCCAGCGAAGAUAAGAACAAAAGUCCUAUAUAUCAUCACAGUAGAGAUAGUCACAAAUCUCAUAGCAAGACCAAUGCAACGAGUUUUUUUCUUAUUAUUGAAACAGAUUGUCAUUUACUGAAAUGACCAAGAGAUGAGGUGAAUGGCAUUCAUCUAAGGGCCAUGUCAGGAAAAAUAUCCUUCACUAAACUCUCUGAUGACACUGUGUAGUUAGAGGCUCAAAAUACAUAAGGCAAGUGGGAAGUCAGUUCAUUGCAGGAAAUAGCUCAGUUUCUUGUGCUUGCUCUAGGACGUUUGCUUAUUGAAAGAAUGUCGGGUAAUACCACAGGCACUAUCUAAAAUCCUCUCCUGUUUUUCCAGUUAAAAAUAUGAAAUGUGUUAGAAAUAUAUAGCAAACAUUUA
rnacentral:lncRNA from 1 species